rnacentral:lncRNA from 1 species
AGGGCUCCAGACUGCUAGGAGAGUCCAGGAAGACACUGCUAUCCCCAUGCAUCUGGUCCUUGUUGAGACCUCCCAGCUCUGCAGUUCGAGCUUUGGCCAGCUGCUGUCUUUGUUUAUGUGAGCGCCAGCUGUGGGGAGAAAGGGAGACCUACCAACCUGCCCCCACCUUCAAGACAGGGAAUUGGUUGGGAGUCCAGACAGGGAAGGGGGUGCCACAGGGCAGUGCCCAGACCACCUACCACUUGAAGGCCAUGUAGGCAAGCAGACCGAGGACCACAGUGGCCAGAAGGGUACAGUAGACUGGGAUGAUGCUGCCUGAG